rnacentral:rRNA from 1 species
AGUGGCGGACGGGUGAGUAACACGUGGGGAACCUAUCCAUCAGCGGGGGAUAACACUUGGAAACAGGUGCUAAUACCGCAUACGGCUUUUUUUCACCUGAAAGAAAGCUCAAAGGCGCUUUACAGCGUCACUGAUGGCUGGUCCCGCGGUGCAUUAGCCAGUUGGUGAGGUAACGGCUCACCAAAGCAACGAUGCAUAGCCGACCUGAGAGGGUGAUCGGCCACACUGGGACUGAGACACGGCCCAGACUCCUACGGGAGGCAGCAGUAGGGAAUCUUCGGCAAUGGACGCAAGUCUGACCGAGCAACGCCGCGUGAGUGAAGAAGGUUUUCGGAUCGUAAAGCUCUGUUGUCAGCAAAGAACAGGAGAAAGAGGAAAUGCUUUUUCCAUGACGGUAGCUGACCAGAAAGCCACGGCUAACUACGUGCCAGCAGCCGCGGUAAUACGUAGGUGGCAAGCGUUGUCCGGAUUUAUUGGGCGUAAAGCGAGCGCAGGCGGUGAUUUAAGUCUGAUGUGAAAGCCCCCAGCUCAACUGGGGAGGGUCAUUGGAAACUGGAUCACUUGAGUGCAGAAGAGGAGAGUGGAAUUCCAUGUGUAGCGGUGAAAUGCGUAGAUAUAUGGAGGAACACCAGUGGCGAAGGCGGCUCUCUGGUCUGUAACUGACGCUGAGGCUCGAAAGCGUGG